rnacentral:rRNA from 1 species
UUAGUGGCGAACGGGUGAGUAAUACGUGAGUAACCUACCUUUAACUCUGGGAUAAGCCUGGGAAACUGGGUCUAAUACCGGAUACGACCAAUCUCCGCAUGGGGUGUUGGUGGAAAGCGUUAUGUAGUGGUUAUAGAUGGGCUCACGGCCUAUCAGCUUGUUGGUGAGGUAACGGCUCACCAAGGCGACGACGGGUAGCCGGCCUGAGAGGGUGACCGGCCACACUGGGACUGAGACACGGUCCAA